AGAACAUUGGUGAAUGGGACAGUAAUCUUUGGCGGAUAGUUGCAGCGAGCCGGGUCAGUGGAAGCCGGUACGGAAGCCUUAGGCGAAGCGGACCCAGGAAAUGGUUUGCCGAAGCAGCACUUGCGGAGCAGUAGGCAAAUCCGGUCAUGGACCGUUACGAAAACGAGGGGUCAAGCAGCUAGCAGGCUUGGCACUUAGAGUGGUACCACGGGAUCUUCACGGCUCUCGUCUCUUAU
rnacentral:ncRNA from 1 species